rnacentral:rRNA from 1 species
UCUCCGAAUGGGAAUCCCCACCGCAAUUGCUUCGCGCAAUGGGGAACGUCGAGAAUUGAAACAUCUUAGUAUCGACAGGAAAAGAAAGCAAACGCGAUGUCGUUAGUAAUGGCGAAUGAACGCGACGCAGUCCAAACCGAAGCCUUCACGGGCAAUGUGGUGUUCGGACUGACGAUCACUCUCCGAACCGCAACACGAAGUCUCUUGGAACAGAGCACGAAACAGGGUGACAGUCCCGUACUGUUGUGAAGUAAGAGACGAGUCAGCUCCAGAGUAGCGGGGGUUGGAUAUCCCUCGUGAAUCUCGCGGGCAUCGACCGCGAAGACUAAACACUCCUCAAGACCGAUAGCGAACAAGUAGCGUGAGCGAACGCUGAAAAGCACCCCACGAAGGGAGGUGCAAUAGGGCGUGAAAUCAGUUGGCGAUGGAGCGACAGGGCAUAGAAGGUCCCGGACAAAACGAACCAGGCGCGAGCCUCAAGUAGGAAGUUUGGGAAGCCGGUGUUCUGUCGUACGUUUUGAAAAACGAACCAGGGAGUGUGCCUGUUUGACGAGUCUAACCGGAUCAUCCGGGAAGGCGUAGGGAAACCGACAUGGCCGCAGUGCUUUGCACGAGGGCCGCCGUGUUCAAGCGCGGGGAGUCAAACGGGCACGACCCGAAACCGGACGAUCUACGCAAGGGCAAGGUGAAGCGUGCCGAAAGGCACGUGGAGGCCUGUUAGAGUUGGUGUCCUACAAUACCCUCUUGUGACCUUUGUGUAGGGGUGAAAGGCCCAUCGAGUCCGGAAACAGCUGGUUCCAACCGAAACAUGUCGAAGCAUGACCUCUGCCGAGGUAGUUCGUGGGGUAGAGCGACGGAUUGGGGGACCGCACU